AGCAGCCGCGGUAAUUCCAGCUCCAAUAGCGUAUAUUAAAGUUGUUGCAGUUAAAAAGCUCGUAGUUGAAUUUCGGGGUUAGUAGGUUGGUCGUGCCACUGGUACGUACUGGUCUCACUGACUCCUCCUUCCUGAUGAACUGUAAUGCCAUUAAUUUGGUGUUGCGGGGAAACUGGACUGUUACUUUGAAAAAUUAGAGUGUUUAAAGCAAGCUAACGCUUGAAUACAUUAGCAUGGAAUAAUGAAAUAGGACGUUCGAUCCUAUUUUGUUGGUUUCUAGGAUUGACGUAAUGAUAAUAGGGAUAGUUGGGGCAUUAGUAUUCAAUUGUCAGAGGUGAAAUUCUUGGAUUUAUUGAAGACUAACUACUGCGAAAGCAUUUUGCCAAGGAUGUUUUCAUUAAUCAAGAACGAAAGUUAGGGGAUCGAAGACGAUCAGAUAACCGUCGUAGUCUUAACCAU
rnacentral:rRNA from 1 species